GAAUGGAUUUAUGGCACAAGCCUAGUUUUUAUGAGAUUCAUAAGCCUCUUUACGUAUUUUGAAUGAAAUGUGUUCUAAUGCUGUGAACCAGUUUACGAUGAUUUACUUUAUUGUCUCCAUGUACUCAACUAUAUAUGUUUAUGAUGAUGUCUGUUUACUCAUUGGGAUUUUAUAAUCUCACCACCCUCCUUUCCAUCCAUUUCAGGUUCAAUAUAGACUGUAGAUAGCUGAUCUCAUCGAGGACUACCGUUAGAUCUGCAUUUUUCAAACUGUAGGUUCACAGUUCUCUUUACUUUUGUUUAUU
rnacentral:lncRNA from 1 species